rnacentral:rRNA from 1 species
GACGAACGCUGGCGGCGUGCUUAACACAUGCAAGUCGAACGAAGUGGCGAACGGGUGAGUAACGCGUAAUCAACCUGCCCUUCAGAGGGGGACAACAGUUGGAAACGACUGCUAAUACCGCAUACUGAAGGAGGGGAUUGCGUCUGAUCUGCUGGUUGGAGGGGUAACGGCCCACCAAGGCGAUGCUCAGUAGCCUGUCUGGGGGGGUGAUCGGCCACAUUGGUACUGAGACACGGCCCAGACUGGUACGGGAGGCAGCCACAGGGAAUCUUCCGCAAUGGACGAAAGUCUGACGGAGCAACACCGCGUGGGUGAUGACGGCCUUCGGGUUGUAAAGCUCUGUUAAUCGGGACGCGGUACCGGAAUAGAAAGCCACGGCUAACUACGUGCCAGCAGCCGCGGUAAUUC